UUCUCACCGCACACACACACGCUUCGCUUUCUCCGCCGCAAUUGACCCCGCAGAUUCCUCUCCUUCGCGUGUUGCCCGCACGCCGCCGCACACCGCCUCCUCUCUAGCCAGGACAUCGUCUGGUGCCUCCUCCCCCACCCCUCACCCCCUACGGCCUCGGCUCGUCGCCUCCUCUCCCCAUUAUGGCGUCGCCCGGCACAUCCUCUCCCCACCAGGGGUUCGCCUCACUGCGAACUCUUCCGCCGUCGUGUCUCAGCGUAGAUUUGGGUGUGAGUUGCUAGACACGAUGAGGGAGUGGGCAUCUCAGAGCGGACCGGAUCCACUGCGUCUAAGCAAGCACUUCAGGCUUAGGCGGCGCAAGAUCGAGCGGAUUCACGCCCUCGUCAAGGGACAUGGAGCUCGGGACGUCUCGCUCCCUUGUGCUUCUUCUUCUCGGAAUGUCGUGCCGCCAUGGAAGGGUCCGUUCGGUUUCCCUCCCGGAGCGGACGAGCUGCAGUAGAAAAUGUUGGAGCGAUCAAACAGGUGCUCCAUAAAUCCUUGGGUUUUAAGAAACUGGUGGAUAGCUGAACAGGGCCUUAGUGACCGAGAGUUCCAGGGUCACAACCAAACAUGCUUUCAUCACAUCGCCGUGCAUGUGACUCCAAGUAGAGGAGAGGCCGCUUACUAGUCUUAAGACAUGGAGAGGAGAGGCCAAGUAGCAACAAGCAUGCAGCUGUGUUUGGACCAACAACCUGCUUUCCCUCAAUUUGUUAAUUGAGCAUCGUUAUCUUAUUCUCUUUACUCUUACUAUCAUGAGUGGGUUUGAAAUUUGGGCCAUUUUCGUUCUUGCAUUUGACCAAAUGAUUGUGCAUUGACAUCAAUAAUGACAAUAUUACCAUUGGCUGAACUAAGGAGAAGUAUUGGAGCACAAGUUGACAAUGAAGGAAUUAUUGUCGAUGGAUAUCAGAAGUUACUGCAUUGACUGUAACUAUAGAAGUUAUAUUCAGUCAUGGAGACAUCAGUUUUUUAUAUCAAAUAGGAUUGUUGACUUAUAUUAUUUAA